AUGUGUAUCUGUCGCCAUGCGAGAGAAUUAUAUUUUCCCCAGUUUCAUACAUGGCGCAACCUAGGCCAAGUGUAUAGAAGCCAUCGUCGGGCGAUGUGUUGUGUCGUCGGGCGACAAUCACGGAUCAGAAGUUUCUUUAUAUUUCCUUUUCAUUUCUUUUGGAGAGGGAUGGUUUUGGGGAAAUUUUUGCUCCCAACUCCAUCAAUCUUUAAUUUUGUUAGGCUUAGCUUAGAUAACAACUUUGGAGCUUCGAUCGACACUGAUAAACUAAAAGAUUUGCGGUUCAUUUCUCUUUUUCUUUGUGUAUUCUCUAUUCAUUGGGUUUGUAUGUAUAUUUUCUUUGAACUCAUGUAUAUUUGUCGCCCUUGGCGUUAUAUAAAACUUGCUUUACAAAUAUUUGUCGAUUGUUAUCCUAGA